GUGGCAGACACUUGCCUCGAUCCCCAGCUCAAGGAUGAGGAAGCUCAGUCCUCAUCUGACGAGGAAGCCUCCUCAUCACUGUUCCCGGGAUAGAAGGAGUGGAGCUCCAAAUAUGACAUUAUCUGCAGUAGAUGGAUCUUGCAAUUCUCGAAACCAUCGAUAAAUCUACCAACGGCAAUGUCAAUGAUUUCUCCCCUAAACUUUGUAGAGUUUCG
rnacentral:lncRNA from 1 species